AGAUAAAAGGGCUCACAUCGCCAUAAAUUGAUAAUUGAUAUGUAAAAUGAUUCAAGUGUGAUCUGUUAAGAACAUGAAGAAUGUGUGUCAGAUAAAAUAAAUAUACCAUCCAUGCGUAAUGUAAUUAUGUGUAUUACCGUUGAGACCUCUAGUAGGUUGAUUUUGUUCAUCAAAACAAUGGUUGUACGAACAGAUUACAGUUACGUGCAAGGAUAAUUGAGCUCAUUUACCAUUUUUAAAUGUUGAUGUUUUUGGAUAAAGUUUGCAUGCAUAAAAAUGGUGGUGUAUAUAUAUUUGCAUAACGUGUUUUGUGCAUUCAUUUGGAUGUAAUUACUCGCCUGGGAGAUUAUGCCAUUCUAUGAUGUAUUAUUGUGGAUUUUUACACCAGAUAAAAAGGUAGAGAAUUCGCCAUUUUGCUUGUCUUUUUUCAUAGCAACCAAUGACUGCGUUUCUCCUCAGUCACGCACAAAUGAUAUGUAAGAGAAACAACAAACAACCUUUGCCAUUUCAUUUAGCCAGCUGGCGGCAUACAUAGCUAAGGUUUUGAAGUUUAUAACUGCCAAGAUAAUUUAGGACACGUCGAUCUUGUAUUGUAAACAAUGAUGUAUUGAGUUUGGUAGGCAAGGAGAAAUAUUGAUUUAUACGUUGUGUAAUGGUUUUGACAUUUAGCUAACUGAUAUCAGUAAAACUUUUACACUGUCAAUAUCAUUCAGUCGCCAAAAACAUUUAAUAGGAUUUUUUAUGCAAAUGAUUUAUGCUGCUCAGUGUGAGACAAUCUAUUUGACAGUACCAAAUAUAGCCCUAAACGUUCAAGUUUCGGUACGUCUGCAAUAGAUGCAAUCUAUUCCGUUUUUUUCUUCUUUUUUUUGUAAACCAUGUUAAUUUGUUAACGCUCAACUGAAUCGACCUGUAUCAUGUGUAUUGAAGUAUUUACAAUAGUACAGGAUAUCAAGAUACAAACGGAUGAAGGAGUACAUUGAACAUUUAUCGUGCACUAGUGAACAAAAUUAAUGACAAAAUGCGUCACUCAAACCAUAAAGUUAAUUGAUAGGUCCCUUAAAGGUUUGAAUUCACAUUUUUUUCAAUUAAAUAAGAAUAUUAUUUGUAAGUGAUGAUUUUUUUUUUUAGAAAAUGAACAUUAAAAAAAUGCACGUUCCUUGCUUUCACAAUAUGGUACGUUUAGAUCAACGUUCAUUAGGGACAUUUCAUGUCAGAUAAAUCACUAAUACAAAUCAACACUAAAAAACAGUCUCUCACCAUGCUCACAAAAUGGUUAAUAACAUACUUAUUCUGAAAAAUUACAUUCAAAUAUCGAAUGCAAGUAAAUGUGAAAUCAUGCAAAUUAUCGGUCUUAAAAAUCAACUCCCAAAAAAAUAUAAAUCUAUGAAUUGCAGAAUCUGUAGGAAUAUAUUUUUCAAAUAUUUUACCUCCUUCGUGUCCAUGUAAUUUUUGAAAGCUUACUGGUUCUCGAGAAAAUCGAAUCUUUACUCUGUUUUAUUAUAUUGCCAUCGAUGAAUGCAUACAACUUUUUGUGUUUUUCGUUGUCCUUAUUUUUUUCUGUAAAAAUAGGUUUCAAUAUUAAAAAUAGUCCAACAUAUUUUUCUAAAAACAAAAAAAAAACAUGACACACUUUUAUUCAACUCAAAUAUGCUUUUAACUUUAUAACCAGAGUAAAUGUAAAAUUAUAAUCUUUUGUAGUCUAAUUAAACUUUUUGUUAUAAAAACUGCGUAGAAAUGUUCGUCCUCUAUCAUGUCCAUUCUUCGAAAUAGUUGUGUUUAAUAGAAACCCCAGACAGACAGACAGGAAGGAUAUUUUUGUUUUGAAAUCUUAUGUUGUGCAAAGCUUUGUAUACAAAGUCAAAGUCGCUAGAGUUCACAUGGGCUCAGAAAGUCUAAAAGGAGAUUAGUUAAAACUCAGAAAAAAAACACUAUAUAUUAUGCAUUUAAGACGAAAAAUUAUUAGGGAUUAGUUAUUUAUAUACAAAUGUAUUUAUCUUUAACCCCGCCGCAUUUUUGCGCCUGUCCCAAGUCAGGAGCCUCUGGCCUUUGUUAGUCUUGUAUUAUUUUAAUUUUAGUUUCUUGUGUACAAUUUGGAAAUUAGUAUGGCGUUCAUUACCACUGAACUAGUAUAUAUUUGUUUAGGGGCCAGCUGAAGGACGCCUCCGGGUGCGGGAAUUUCUCGCUACAUUGAAGACCUGUUGGUGACCUUCUGCUGUUGUUUUUUUCAAUGGUCGGGUUGUUGUCUCUUUGGCACAUUCCCCAUUUCCAUUCUCAAUUUUAUUAUCUGUACAUUUUUAAAAGUAUUGUUGAUUUUGGGUCUAUUUUAUAUCAAUUUACUUAUAUAUUUUUAUUCUUGUCUCUAUUUACAUUUUAAUAUAUUUUUUCUAUUGAAAUUGUUAGAUAAGUUUAGUUACUAUAAUACUUUCAUGCAUGUCUUAAUGCACAUAUUUAAUUGUGAAAUUAUUUCGGUUUAAUUAAAAUAAUGCGACAUUGUUGAGGUUUUACAAAACGAUCGCGACACUAUUCAGGUUUAACAAAACAUCUGUCUUGAGUUUAUUACAUUUAAAAUAGGUAAAAAAUAUGGAGAUAUAUCCUGGAAUUCGACAAAUUGGUUUAUUUGGAUUCUUGGAACGUGCUGCGCAUUAAAUAUUUUUUUAUGUUCGUUAUUUAUUGUCUAUGUUUUAUGUUGAAUACUUAAACACACAUCAAAUAAAUCAUUAUACCAUAUACUUUAAAACACUGUGACGUAUACGUUUUAUCAGAUAAAUAUUCAAGUAAAAACAUAACAUUUCGGAGGAUUCUUCUGAUUUUAAGUUUUUUAGAUAAACAAAGAGCAUUAAAGCUCAAAAGAUCGAUCUUGCAUGAAUUUAGUAUAUUAACUUACGUAUCAACAUGACCAAGGACAUCAAUUUAUAUAAGCAAAUAGUUUCACAGACAAAACAGUUCUUUAAUCAAUAAGCGUCAGGCGAAUUUUUAUGUCGAGAUUCUUCCGUUUUUAGACAUCAAGACAUGUUCUUUGUAUUGUCAACAAGAAUGAAUUUACAAUGUUUUAACCGUGUUUUAUUUUUUUAUAUAUAAAUAUAUUUUUAAGCAAUUCUGUACUAAGAUAAUGCAGGAACCAUUGAAACUAAUAUUACACGAACAGAGGUAGAAUUUAUAAAGAAGUAAAAUUUGCUUUUAGUUAGACCUUUUUCCAUUUUUUCCAUUUAAUCAUUUUGUACGUGUUGGAAAAGAAAAAAAUACGAAGAAAGGAUAAUAUCGUAAAUGUUAAUAAUAUAACACUUUGCUUUCGUUAAGAACAUAUUUGCAUUUUUACAGCAUUCGAAAUUUUAAGCACUAAACAUAUUUAAUUUUAUAGGAAUAUUGUAAACUUGUUUCUUGAAAAGUAUCACAUUCAACUUAUGCUAAAUAUUCAAGUACCAGUGUUCUUAAAAAAAAUAUAUUGUUGUUGUUGGGGGGGAUUCCUAAAACAACCCAAUAAUAACAGACCCACACAACUUAAAUAUGGAUGCAAUCACUCUGUAAAGUUUCAGGGAUUUGGUUUGAUAACUGCAUAGGAGUUGAUGACACAAACCAAGGACGUAUAAUUUCGACCUUGAACAAACAUACCAUGUUUUUGUAAAUUUUACUGAAUAAGAUGUUUCAAAUUUAGGAAAAAGGAAAACAUUCAGAAACAAUUUUAUAAAACAGGUGUCCACGUCAAUUUCAACGUGUGUGCAAUAUCGCUGCGAAAUUUCCUAAGGGUCUUGGUUGAAAACUGCAGGGUGAGUUGAUAAAAAAACUAUGCAUCUCCCACUCCACAUCCCACCAACCCCGACAUCACCAUAUUUAAAGCCGGUUUUGGAGUUCCUCCAACCUUACCAAUAAAACAAGUAAAUUACACUAUUGUUCAAAAUUAAGAAAAAACAACCAAAAGAGACAGGCAGAGAUAGAAACAAACACUACACAGCAAACUAAGGAUUGAGCAACACAAAUUAACCAAAAACCAUAGAAAUUCUGGUAAAAAUAGGGCAUGCGCAGUUCAGUCCCGUCGUUCACGUCAUUCUAUGUAACAAAAAUAUAGAGACAAGUAGCAUUCGGUAAUUUCACAAUUGAAAAAGAUGAGAGAUUGUCGUAACAAGUAAAGCAUAUACCUGCAUUUGAUCAUCUGGGACGCAGAUAUUGCAUACCAUGCAGUCGUCAAGAAAGGAGUUUUUAAUAUUUCUCCUUGAAAUAUAUCUUUUUUUUUUAAAUUUUAUUAGUUCAUCUAUGAAAUAGGUGUUUGUGAUUUAAUUUAGAGAACCACUGUCCAAAAUUUUCUAAAAGCUCAUAUAUAUAAUUUUGUAAUUGAAGCUACACCAUGUAUUGAAUGUUGGACUACAAGUCUUUGCAGGUAUAUGCAUUUGUGUACUUUUAUGGUAUUAAUUUGGUAUGAUGUACGAGAAACAUUCACUUUAAAGAGAAGUGGUAAAGGUGAAGGUUAAUCUCCCGACACACUAGAUGGGUUUUUUUUUGUUGGGGUAUAUUACUUCUCGAUGUUCAUACUUUCAGAUUUCAAUCUUUGUUUCUUAAGUACUAUUGGCAAGAAAUAACUGUUCAAAAUCCGUAAAUGUUGCAUUAUAAUUAAUUUUGUAUUCUUAAAGACUUUGAUAUCUUAAUUGCAGCACCUUACCAUGCUUACUGCAAGAAAAAUACAACGGAAACUUUAUUCAAAUUUUCAUAAACUGAAAUAUAAGAGACAAAUUUAAGUAUCGAAACGCAUUUAUAGCAUACACAGCAAAUAAAAUUCGUUUGGAAAUCUGCCAUUGUCUGCGGAUACACGUGUAUCCUAUAAAAAAAAACAAGAGCUUCGAGUGGAAUUCAGUUACACAUCUGACUUAUUUCCAAUAAAUAACUUCCCACUCAUUUGUAUUAAAAAAAUAAUAAAAAUUCUAACAAUAAAAAUGUUGAAUAAAACAUUGAAAGGCUAAGAAGCGCUCUGAAAUGAAAUGCUUAAUCUUUUAUUCUAGAACAGGCAUAUUUGUUUAAGGAAAUAUUAUGGACGGUUUAUAUAAAUUGAAUGAUUUUGAAACCUUGUAGACAUACACAUGGGGAUUAUAUAUAUACAUAUUCCAUGCAGUUGGAAAGUAUAAAUAUUUAUGAAGCAUGCAUACAAACUAUAACGUAUCUGCUUUAACAACACGGUGUACCAUGUACGUGCAUGUCACUUUUUCAAAAGAAAGAUCGUGAAGACAUGCAUGAUCAUGAUGAUAUAUCGUUUCGAAGAAAGUACAUGUCUGCUCGGUGUGCAACCAAAGUAAAUGUACAAUACAAAUAAAAUAGAGGACAUGGCAAUGCAAGUUGACUAAGAAUAACUGAAAUGACUGUUCCUUUGAAGCGCCAAUGACCUCGGCUUGGUGUUUUUAUAACAAGCUGUCAAUAUUAUGACCACAUCUAGGACGAGAAGAAAUAAAGUAGUUAACAAUGUUCUGAAAGGGAAAUAAAUAAUAUUAGCGAUAUAGACAUGAAUGAACGAAUCUGUAUUGCAUUAGCAACAACAUUGCUUUAGCAUAAUACAAGGCAUAUACAUAUAUGACAGAAUACAGAGAACAAUUAAAUAAAUUAAAUAAUGCAGAUAUAACUUAUAAUAAUAUGAAUAACAUAUUAACAGAUAAUUUGCAAUCUUAGUUUCCAUGCAGCUUUAAGAUAAUUACAUAAUUUUUUAGUUAACUUACGGCUUUUUGACCCAGCUUGUAACAGAAAAAUUAGCUUUCGUGUAUUUGGCCUUUAUAUGAUAGAAGUAAAGUUUGGGUCCAUUGAGGAAUUCAAUGUGUUUUGGUUCAUCAAGUUUAUAUAUUUAGUUCGUCCUAUAAGAAGUAUUUUAUUUUAUAUUUGAAUAUUUUAUUGGAUGCGAUUUGUUGUUGUUGUAGGUUUUGAGAUAUUUGAUAUACCUUUAUUUACUAUGGAAAUUCUGUCAGUGUUGCAGACGGGAGUCUUUAAUAUUGUAGAAAACAUCAAAAACUUCAUGUUGUAAAUUGUCAUGUAUAAUGAACGCUUCAAAAGUUUAUAUUGUUUAGAAUAUCGGAUUUUGAAUAUGUUUCCGUGUAUAUUAAGAAAAACAUAUAAAGUUUAUUAUUUUUCCUGUCUUUUCAAUUUUACACGGGGAUACGUAUUUUAAGGUCCAACCCACUGCGUAAAUGUAUAAAUUCCAAACAAAGAGAAAAAAGAGAGUCUGUCAUAAAUGCUCUGCCUCAAACCGUAGAAAUUGUAUUAUCCUUCUUGAUAUUUUUAUAAUUUUCUAAAAUAUUUUUUAACAAUUAAGUAUUCUGACACGACAAUGGUUGUUAUUUUUUUAUGGAAGGGUUCUAACCUGUAUUUAAUAAUAUACAUACAAAUACACACGAGUAAUAAUAAUAAAAGAAUAAAACAAACAGCUUUCAAAUCAACUAUAAAGCACAUGGAAAAGAUAAGCAACAACAUUUCUAAUUAGGAAUAUUAAUUAUUUUGGGGAAAAUGAGCGGUAAACCAAACGAUCCUUUCAUUCAUAAAAUAUUUAUUAAAUUCAUAACUUAUUUAAUAAAUUCUUAAAUUUUACUUCCCCGAGAAAUAUACAAAUUUCACUUCCAAAUUAAGUUGCGUCGAAAAAAACUUAAAAUCAAACUGAUCUAAAAAAAAAAAAUGUUUUCUACAAAGAAAACAGGAAAGCCAAACGUAACUUUAAUGAAACACGCGUAUAUAUAUACAUAUUAUACUUCUAUGCAUAUCAACCUUAUAUUAUAUCAACUCUAUCAUGAAAAUGGUGGAAUCAAAAUUGACAAAAGAAAAGAAACGUAUAUAUUUGUGUAUAUUUUUUGAUUUGUAGAACAAAUUUUACAGGUGUGCUUUUCUUUAAAACAAUAUAUAGUUGGUUGUUUAAGCCUUCAUAUGUAAUAUAAAGACCUACAUUUUGUUAUACUGCUUUAAGUAUAAAAAUUAUAGAAAGAAAAUAACGAAAAAGACACAAUAUAGAACAAAGAAAGUAAGAUAAAAAUUACAUUCCCGUCAUCUGGUAAUAUCAAAAUACACAUGACACCUACUUCAUCAAUUUAAAUUAUAUUACAUAGUACAAAUUUAAUUAGUUUGCUUCCAAUAUAUUAGUUAUACCAAAAAAAUAUUUAUUUUUAAAGUAUGAAGUGAGAUACAUUCUAACCGUGAAUGUCGUUUUAUUUCUGUCCAUACAACAUGUGCAAAUGUCAAAUGGUGAUCAAUAUUUUGUUCUCUUAAAUGCAAUUAAAUUAUUGUUAAGUGCAUUAAAAAAAAUGUACAUGCUUAAGCAAUAUAUAACCAACAAAGUACAUAAUUUUACAAAUGUUGUAUCAAGUGAAAGCAUUUACGCCUAUAAUAAGCAAUAAAGAACACUUUAAUAUCAAUAUAGCUUCACAUUGCUUUUAAAAAUAGACCACCAUGAACUUUUCUCGUCAUCCAGGAAAAUAUUGUUCAAUGUUUCUUGGAUACAGUUGUUCCAAACAAACAAAAACUUUGGGACAGUUAAUAUUAUAUUUUUUUUCUCCAAAUUAUACAAAAAUAUUAUUUUGUUUGUUACCUACACAUAUUUUUAUGGUAUUCCAACUGUCUUUUUCAUUGAAUAUUAAAUGACGAUAAUUAAUGGAGGAACACAGAAAGAAAAUUUUAAUUCUUAAUAUCAACAUGAUUCACCUUCUGUAAAGUACUUUUCAUUUGUUGUCACUUGGCUCGGAAUAUUCAGUUGAUGAUUUUAUACCUAUUAACCCACACUUUAAAAUAUAAUAAUCAUUAAUAAAUAAUAAUAAUAUUCAGGAUGGUAAAAUGAUAAAACUUGUGAAAUCGAACACGUUAUAGGACUCUGGGGGGAACCGUCUCGUUAAGAACAAAUGUUUUGGGCUGGAUUAAAAUACGAGUAUGUUUAAAAUUUUACAAACAUGCUGAGAUGAAUUUGCAAACAACAUACUUAAAUCGAAUUACAGUUGGCAUCACGUCUAUCAGCGUUAAAUUAUAGGAAAUGAAGCCCAAUUUUCACCGUGUAUAGGAUGUUAGGAAUUUUAAAAGUCUCAUUUUCAAAAAAAACACUGUGUGCCCAAGAGAUAUGAUAAUGAGAGAAGAUAGAACAGUUGUUCUGAAAACCAACACUGUACAUUCAAUCUAAAUGGAAUAGGUCAUAUAUGGUUUAGUGUGCGUGUGUGUUUAACUAUGACACUAAUAUGACUUAAUUUUAGUAUUUGUUUUCCAAUACAGCAUAAAUUUGUGGUAGCCCAAAUGGAAAACUAACAGAUUGAUUGCUCCGAUCUCUAGUCCAAAAAAUUAUGACGUCGUGAAAGGCUAUAAUUUUUCCUUUGACGCCUUACAUCGUCGCAGGAAAGCGUCAAAACAAAAAGUCAAAAUAGCCUCCCAAGACGUCAUAAUUAUUUGGACUAUCCGAUCUCGUAUCCAUUGUUUUCACAUUAGAAUUCUACAUUGUAUCAUAUGUUGAGAUAGGUCAGAGCGCUGUGAGCAGAUUGCUUUUAUAUAAUGUAAAUCCCUAAAAUAAAUUUUUAUAAUUUACUUGAAUGCUCUAAUUAAUUAUUUAUACAUAACGGUAGACUUUUGAUCCGUUUUCUGGUCCAUUUUUUCCCGAAUGUAUCAUGUGUGUGUGUGUUUCAUUGUGAUACGUCAACAAAUUCACAAUUUUAAUUAUUAUUUAAUAUAGUAAUAUUUCUGUUUGUAAUUAUGAUAGCCAAUGAACACCAUUAAUCAUUCAUGCUGUAUGAAUGCUUGUUAAUCCCCUUACCGCCUAUGGACUCUUACAUUUUCCAAUAUUCAUUAUUUUUGUAACAUCUGAAAAUCUGUUCAAAGAAUCGAGAAUAAGUCGAUGCGGUAGGGAGAAGCUUCAUACAACAUCAACAAAAUUCAUUUUCUUCAUCAUCAAUCAAAUAACUUAUUUUUUAAGGUUUUAAUGUAACUUGGCGGGAAUUAACCUGCCGCGUCCCGGUGGCAUAUAAUGACUGAAUUCUGGAUAUUCAAAUCAAUGAUAACAUAAAAUUGACAAAGCUUUGAGCUUUUGAAGUGAAAAUAUUAUAUUGAGUAAAAUUGAUACAAAGUGGUUAAAUCAUUUAUUUAUUUACUAGUAGGUGACACUUGUUACUGACAAAAACCAAGCCGGUGACGUCAGAUCAAACGGUACCAGUUUACACGCGGUCAUCUUAAUUUAAAUUUAAAAUGAAGAACUGAAUAGUAUAAAUACAGAAUUCGAUAUCAAAGAGGUUUGAAGAAACAUGUGGCAUACGAAUUAUAUUAAAAAUUCUUAACAUUGAUGGCAGCAAAAUAUUGAGCAAAAUUGGGAGUAGGGUAUACAUCAUUGAUACAGUAACCUAUGGUUCAUGAUGACCGUAGGUUGGCACUUCUAUACCAAAUGUCAAGAAAUGUUAGCAACAUAUGACACGGUAAAGAUCUGCAAACAAUUGUAUAAUUAUUUAAUUGAUUAAUAAAACAUUUUCGUGUGUUCAUUUCAAAAGCGUUACAAAUCUUGUUAUAUAUACUAUUGCACUCUAUAAAUGAUAACUGUCGCCUGCGUUAUUGCCUUGAAAUACUAAUUUUGUGUGAUCUAUGACGAUUGAAGUCAAAUAUAUAAGGUGCCUUUUCCUAUAUAGCGCUACUGUUUUCACUGACAUAUGCCUCGCAGAAAUUAUCCAUGUGUCUUAAAACUGAAAAUAGUCAACGAAUACCGAGAAUACCACAUUCACGAGAUUGUCAUACCUUUUAACAAUUAAUUUACUGUAUAAACAUAUAUAUUUUGUUGGUAUUCAUCUUAAUUUAGAAGUUGUUCACCAAUCCCGAUGACGUUUCCAAAUUAGGUAUUGUCCUGGAUUUGGCUAUACUUUUUGGACCUUUUGGAUUAUAGCUCUUCAUCUUUUAUAUAAGCUUUGGAUUUCAAAUAUUUUGGCCACGAGCAUCACUGAAGAGACAUGUAUUGUCGAAAUGCGCAUCUGGUGCAAGAAAAUUGGUACCGUUAACUUAUAAUUAUCUUACCUGUAUAGAUCUGUAUAAUAAACGCUUAUCACUCGUGCCACUUUUACCAAGCUUCAUAGAUGUGCCAAGUAUAAAUCUAUGAAACAAAAACUGAUGUGAUGAAACGCAAAAAUUAAAGAAAUCAAAAUAAAUAAAACGAAGCUACAGAUAUUGUUGGCAGUUAUUUUCCCCGAGUUAUAUUACUAAACAUAUUAUGUGUAUGUAACUAAACGCAUGUCGUUGCCAAAGCAUUCGAUAUUUCCGGAAUUUGUUUAAACAUUUCCUGUGAGUUCAUUUAAGCAAACUGAUGAAGCGUGUUUAAGUUGCUAUUCAUAACUUCCGAUAACUACUGUUGAUUUCAUGCGUGAAAUAUUUGUGCAUGAAAUUUUAAAAAGACGGGAUACUACUUUAAUCAUACAAUUUAUUGUGUUAGCGUCAUGUUUUUGCAUAAGACUUGAUUUUCCACUACAGUUUUUUGUUUCUUUCAGUAUUGGGUUUUCGUCCAAAAUGGCCAAUGUCAAUAGAUGUAAAGAACAUCCAAAAAAAAUUUAGGAGAAAGACCAUAAUUUACCUCUAAACAUCGGAGAUAGUGUUAUUGUAAACGGUCUGUCUUGUUGUAUAGGGGUAAAGUGACAGGUCACAUUCGCAAUCGACUAGGAGAAAAGGAUAAAGUUACAAUCCAACUUGGGACACAUAACAACGUCAAGUAUGUAAAUUGUUAUAUGUGUAUCUAUUAAGAUAAUCGUUAUUAUAUGUGAUUAAUGUGGAACAGAAUCUGCGUACCGUUCCGGAGCACAUGAAAUCACCCCCAUGUUUUGUUGGAGUUCAUAAUGCUUAGUCUAGGUAUUUAUGUUGUGUCUUGUGUACUAUCAUUUAAAAUUAAUAAUGGAAAUGGGGAAUGUGCCAAAGAGACCACAGAACAGACAACAAUUUGUCUGAUUGUCUUUUUCAUUUUUAGCCUUGGCGUUGUCAGUUUAUUUUCGAUCUAUGAGUUUGACUGUCUCUCUGGUAUCUUUCGCCCCUCUUUUAUUAAUAUAAAUGUAACAACCCUUCAAGAACAAAUGAAUGUAAGUGAAUAAAAGGAAGAUGUGGGAUAAACAUCAAUGAGACCACAAUCUUGCAACCCACCAAGUCUAGAAAAGUUAAAUUCAUUUAACCGAUAUUAUAUUAAAAGCUGCCAACAGUAUAAAAAGAAAGGGACACAAAUAAAGUUUAUACACCUCAUAUCAAUGGGGUAACACUACUUUUUGCACGAUACUGUCAUAAGAAGGUUUAAAUCUAUAAAGCACACAAGACAAUACUUUCCAUAGUUUUUACUGGUUCGCUUAAUAUGGAAAUAAUCGCAAGAGCAGAAAAUCUAUGAAUUGAUAGCACCUGCAAUGUGGUUUCGCUUUUCCUUCGUAUGUACAAAAUUGGUUAUACUUUAUUACGUAUAUGGUAAGCGUAAAUCCGUUCAUCAUUUAAGGAUGUAUGAAUACGCAAUCCCGUCAUUUUCAAAGUUAUUGCAAAGCUAAAUUCUGAACUUUCGUUUUUAAAAUUGUAUUUACUUUUUAAUAUCAAAUGUAGGGUCUAUUUAAUUUAAACAAAAAAUCAAAACCACUUGAUGCGUUAUUAGAUGUCGUCUAUUUCUUCAAAAAGUAGCAGCAUAUACCCGACAUUCACAAUUAUACGUCCUUACAAUUAAAACAUUAUAUUUUUUUAAUGUCUUAACAUUAUAUCUAAUAUGUAAAUAGUGCUUUUUAUUUUUAAAGUAUAGCCAUAUCUGACCAUACCUACGAACAAAUUUUGUGAAUUUAUAUUAUAGCACCUUGAAAAAGUAAAUUACUAUUUCUUACACCUGUCUACAGGAUUUGUCUUAUAAUGAAAAUAAAGUUUCCACAACAAAAUCAAAUAUCAUAAUUGUUUGUGUAUAGUUAACCCACACUACAGGUGUGACUUUUGAAAUUAUGUCUUUUAGUGAACAGGUGUGUUUUGACCUUUUUCUGUAGUGCUUUAUGUUUUGUAAUGAAUAACAAUUGUUAGGAUUAUGCGAGAAUGAGACAGAAAAAACAUGACACAAGAACAAACGAUGUCCACCCCUAGUGUUAAUUGAGGUCAAGAAAAUCGUUAACCUGAAUUUUCUCGUCUAGUAGAUAGCCUUCCUGAAGUGCAGUUCGAUUGGAUACGAUGGGAUGUAUAAAUACGCAGCCACGUCUAGAAGAUUUGUGUCGUUAAACCUGAAGCCUCGUGAAUUACGGAGGGUGUCACUCUCUUUGAACGGCAAAGAUGUUCACCUUUACAGCAAUGUCCAUGACGGGUCAAUAGUUAGCUUGUUACAAAACACCCUUACAACAACUCUCUGACGUGUAUUUAUAUAGUAUGUUGCGAGCCAAAAUAUCUCUACUUUAAGUUAUUCGUACCGGUCUAUCUAUUUGAGAGAAACUAUAUUUCAAGUAUUAAUCAUUUAUUUGUUUUAGUCAUGCAUAUGGAUAUAAAACUUGCCACUGGAGACGGAUACUAAAAACCUUCUGUCAUCCAUACCAAAGUCCCCACGCGACAAAAAAAAUAUAUCAAUACCAUAAUUUGUACCGAUUUCAAUGCACCAGCUGCGAAUAUCGAUAUGUAAUGCCUCUUCAUUGAUGCUCAAGGCUAAGUAUAUACAACUUUAUAACCUAAUAUAACUUUGGAAAGCUGAUAUAACACAAAAUAUGACCCAAAUUAUGCACAAGAAGAUACAAUCAUUAAUUCAGAAUAAAUUUCUAAUUUCAGACAACAUAUUUCAAAUGAUAUGACAUAUUGUCGUGCCAGUAUAAGAGUACUGAGCUAUACGUACUGAACCGAUAUCAUUGUGGACUAUAGUCAUCCACAAGCGGAGCUGUGGCUGAAUAAACGUUUUUUUUUUUUGUUAUCUCAACAUACCUCUAAUAAAAUUGAUCAGUGGACAAACAACAGGGAGAACAUUCAACCCGUCAAUCAGCAACUAUUAUUGUCAAAAAGACCAAUGUCAACAAAACACUUCACGAAAAACUAAGAUUUAGAAAAAAACAUACUCAACAAAACUCGAGGCUUAACUCCGGUAGAGUGAGCACUAUCUGCUUCACUAGUACCAACUGUCGUGUUGCGAGUAACAGUAAGAUCAAAUAUAGAACUUGAUGCUGUCACAAUCGGGUGAUAAACGCAAUGUAUAAAAAAUGAAAUCACAAAAAUACUGUAAAACUCCCGAGGAAAAUUAAAAACGGAUAGACCCUUAUCAAAAUUGCAAAAUCAAAAGUCCAAAACACAUCAAACGAAUGCACAACUGUCCUGACUUGGUACAGACAUUUUUUGUGUAGAAAAUGGUGGAUUAAACCUGGUUUUAUAGCUAGCUAAAACUCUCACUUACAUUAUAUUGACAACGAUGUGUGAACAAAAUAAACAAUUCCAUUUUAUUGACAUCGAUGUGUGAAUAAAAUAAACAGACAUUAUAUGUUAAAAUGUCAAAAAGAGGGAUACAGCAGUCAACGUUGUAUUAUUAUCUUAAUCACUAUAAAAACAAACAUAGAUUAAUAAUCAUUUACCAUGACACAAUAAUAACACAACGACGGGAUGUAUAAGAACAGAGCACAUGCAAGAAAAAAUGACAAGUACACUAUAUAAGGAACUCUCGCAACAACUCUGCGAAGGGCCUAUAUGUUGUCUUUUUAAAAGGGGUAUUUUUAAACAUACGGGUAUCCAUCAGUACAAAUGACACGUGUUGAUAGAAAUUGGAGACAUCCACAGUUAAACAAAAUUGAAACUAUAAAUGUAUUGCCCAAGCAAUGAACCCAAUACAAUUGGCACGAAAAGGGAGUUGUGCAUAUUUUUGCUUUAUACAAUUGGUCUUUUCAUGUUUCGUAUCAUUAGAACAUUUGCUUUACAUUGUGUCCCCAUUUUGAUAGUGCAUAGACAAUCAACCUUACUACGUUAAGGAAGAUCUGAUUAGAUAUGUAUAGUUUGUUUAUUUAUUCAUGUUAUUCUGUAUAACAGUACAUGCUUGUCCAGAGGACUUCAAAUAUGUAUGCUCCAGAUUUUUUAUCGCCAAAUUCAAAUAGUAUACAUGUUAAAUUGCUGUGCUUUGUACUCUUGCAAAUAUAUCUAUAUACGUAUUCCACGACGAUUACAUAUCUACAUUAUUUAAUAAAUUAAGAUUCAUAAUUUGUUAUAGUUUCCUU
rnacentral:lncRNA from 1 species